rnacentral:rRNA from 1 species
AGAGUUUGAUCCUGGCUCAGGAUGAACGCUAGCGGCAGGCUUAACACAUGCAAGUCGAGGGGCAGCAUAAUGGAUAGCAAUAUCUAUGGUGGCGACCGGCGCACGGGUGCGUAACGCGUAUGCAACCUACCUUUAACAGGGGGAUAACACUGAGAAAUUGGUACUAAUACCCCAUAAUAUCAUAGAAGGCAUCUUUUAUGGUUGAAAAUUCCGAUGGUUAGAGAUGGGCAUGCGUUGUAUUAGCUAGUUGGUGGGGUAACGGCUCACCAAGGCGACGAUACAGUAGGGGGACUGGAGAGGUUAACCCCCCCACACUGGUACUGAGACACGGACCAGACUCCUACGGGAGCA